rnacentral:rRNA from 1 species
CUACGGGACGCACCAGUGGGGAAUAUUGCACAAUGGGCGCAAGCCCGAUGCAGCCAUGCCGCGUGUAUGAAGAAGGCCUUCGGGUUGUAAAGUACUUUCAGCGGGGAGGAAGGGAGUAAAGUUAAUACCUUUGCUCAUUGACGUUACCCGCAGAGGAAGCACCGGCUAACUCCGUGCCAGCAGCCGCGGUAAUACGGAGGGUGCAAGCGUUAAUCGGAAUUACUGGGCGUAAAGCGACGCAGGCGGUUUGUUAAGUCAGAUGUGAAAUCCCCGGGCUCAACCUGGGAACUGCAUCUGAUACUGGCAAGCUUGAGUCUCGUAGAGGGGGGUAGAAUUCCAGGUGUAGCGGUGAAAUGCGUAGAGAUCUGGAGGAAUACCGGUGGCGAAGGCGGCCCCCUGGACGAAGACUGACGCUCAGGUGCGAAAGCGUGGGGAGCAAACAGGAUUAGAUACCCGCGUAGUC